AACGCGAAGAACCUUACCUAAGCUUGACAUCCUUUUGACCGAUGCCUAACCGCAUCUUUCCCUUCGGGGACAGAAGUGACAGGUGGUGCAUGGUUGUCGUCAGCUCGUGUCGUGAGAUGUUGGGUUAAGUCCCGCAACGAGCGCAACCCUUGCCUUUAGUUGCCAGCAUUAAGUUGGGCACUCUAGAGGGACUGCCAGGGAUAACCUGGAGGAAGGUGGGGAUGACGUCAAAUCAUCAUGCCCCUUAUGCUUAGGGCUACACACGUGCUACAAUGGGUGGUACAGAGGGCAGCCAAGUCGUGAGGCCAAGCUAAUCCCUUAAAGCCAUUCUCAGUUCGGAUUGUAGGCUGAAACUCGCCUACAUGAAGCUGGAGUUACUAGUAAUCGCAGAUCAGAAUGCUGCGGUGAAUGCGUUCCCGGGCCUGUACACACCG
rnacentral:rRNA from 1 species